GUGCCAGCAGCCGCGGUAAGACGAAGGAUGCAAGCGUUAUCCGGAUUCAUUGGGUUUAAAGGGAGCGUAGGCGGACUUAUAAGUCAGUGGUGAAAUCUCCGGGCUUAACCCGGAAACUGCCAUUGAUACUGUAGGUCUAGAGUACAUUUGCUGUGGGCGGAAUAUGACAUGUAGUGGUGAAAUACUUAGAUAUGUCAUAGAACACCGAUUGCGAAGGCAGCUCACAAAAAUGUAACUGACGCUGAGGCUCGAAAGUGCGGGGAUCAAACAGGAUUAGAAACCCCCGUAGUCC
rnacentral:rRNA from 1 species